rnacentral:piRNA from 1 species
GGUGCUGACGGUGGGGGUUAAGC